rnacentral:snRNA from 1 species
AAAAAAAUGGCGUGGGUGUUAGCUGUGAUCAAGUAGGCAGCUCGCCCAAGGCGAGGCCUUUGCAUUGCACUCAGCUUUGGCUGACCCUUGCGAUUUCCACUAAUGUUGGAAACUCGGGCGCACAAUUUCUUUGUGUUGGGAUCUGCGUUCGCGCUAGUCCCUA